GGAGCUGCCAAUAGGAACCAGCCAUGGCAGUGGCAAGGCCAGUGGAGGGGAGAGAAAGACAAGGGAGGCCGAUGGGGCCAUUCAUGCCACUGUCGCAGAGGGAAGGACUGGGCUGUCCUGCAGCUCAGGGUCCUAGGCAUGUGCCUAGUUUGCCUAUGCGUUAAUCCGGCUCUGAUAGCAGAGGUGCUGCAGGGGUGGAGUGGGGGCUUUGGCAGAACUGUGUAUGGGGAGCUGAAAUAGGAGGCAGUACUGCAGGGCAGAAGUUAGGGACACUGGCAGAGUCUUGUAGGCAGCUCAGGUAUUGCAGGGGGUGCUACAGUCAGGCUUGAGGUGCAUUGACUGAGCUGAGGGGAAGAGUUUAUGUUGUCCCUAAUUACACUAUGCCAGUUCCACCUAGAUGCUCUGUCAACGCCCCCUUUUGUCUCUCCGUUCACCAUUCCUGGUGAAUUACCAGUCUUCUUAGAGCAACUACAUGUACAUCCUUGUGUUGGAAGUGAAUCACAGCAGUGUUCUCUUGGCAGGGUGAAGUUUCCCCAGGAUCUCUUGCAGAUAUGAAGGGAAAUGUCUUUAUUGGGAAUAUCCUGCACAGUCAGCAUUCCUCUUCUUUCCCUAUUGGGGAUUACUCUGAGGUUUUACAGGAGCAGGUUUUGAGAUUCUCAGCCUUCUGUGAUCUCCCAGACUGCAAGGACUCCAGGCAAAGCAAGAUCUCAAGAGGCAUCCACACAAACAAUGGGACCAUGAAGGAUUAA
rnacentral:lncRNA from 1 species